rnacentral:rRNA from 1 species
UCGAGAGUUUGAUCCUGGCUCAGAUUGAACGCUGGCGGAAUGCUUUACACAUGCAAGUCGAACGGCAGCACGGACGUCGGUCUGGUGCGAGUGGCGGAACGGGUGAGUAAUAUAUCGGAACGUGCCCAGUCGUGGGGAUAACGUAGUGAAAAUUACGCUAAUACCGCAUACGAUCUAAGGAUGAAAGCGGGGGAUCGCAAGACCUCGCGCGAUUGGAGCGGCCGAUAUCAGAUUAGGUAGUUGGUGAGGUAAAGGCUCACCAAGCCAACGAUCUGUAGCUGGUCUGAGA